UGGGGAAUCUUGCGCAAUGGGGGAAACCCUGACGCAGCGACGCCGCGUGCGGGAUGAAGGCCUUCGGGUUGUAAACCGCUUUCAGCAGGGACGAGGCCUUAUGGUGACGGUACCUUCAGAAUAAGCUCCGGCUAAAUACGUGCCAGCAUCCUCGUUAAUACGUAUGGAGCAAGCGUUAUCCGGAUUCAUUGGGCGUAAAGCGCUCGUAGGCGGUCUGUUAGGUCGGAAAGUUAAAUCCGGGGGCUCAACCCCCGUCCGCUUCCGAUACAGGGAGACUUGAGUUUGGUCGGGGAAGGUGGAAUUCCUAGUGUAGCGGUGGAAUGCGCAGAUAUUAGGAAGAAAACCGGUGGCGAAGGCGGCCUUCUGGGCCAUAACUGACGCUGAGGAGCGAAAGCGAGGGGAGCGAACAGG
rnacentral:rRNA from 1 species